GAUGAACGCUGGCGGCGUGCUUAACACAUGCAAGUCGAACGGAAAGGCCCAAGCUUGCUUGGGUACUCGAGUGGCGAACGGGUGAGUAACACGUGGGUGAUCUGCCCUGCACUUCGGGAUAAGCCUGGGAAACUGGGUCUAAUACCGGAUAGGACGAUGGUUUGGAUGCCAUUGUGGAAAGUUUUUUCGGUGUGGGAUGAGCUCGCGGCCUAUCAGCUUGUUGGUGGGGUAACGGCCUACCAAGGCGUCGACGGGUAGCCGGCCUGAGAGGGUGUACGGCCACAUUGGGACUGAGAUACGGCCCAGACUCCUACGGGAGGCAGCAGUGGGGAAUAUUGCACAAUGGGCGCAAGCCUGAUGCAGCGACGCCGCGUGGGGGAUGACGGCCUUCGGGUUGUAAACUCCUUUCGCUAGGGACGGAGCGUUUUUGUGACGGUACCUGGAGAAGAAGCACCGGCUAACUACGUG
rnacentral:rRNA from 1 species